rnacentral:misc_RNA from 1 species
GUGUUUGGAGGAGAGUUUCAGUCUGGACACACUGCUGAUGUGCUAAGUGUUUCUAUCAAUGGGUCAAACUCGAGAAUGUUUGUAUCUGGUUCGUGUGAUUCAACUGCCCGGUUGUGGGACACCCGUGUUGCAAGUCGAGCUGUGCGCACAUUUCAUGGGCAUGAGGGAGAUGUUAAUGCUGUGAAGUUCUUUCCAGAUGGCAAUAGAUUUGGAACGGGAUCAGAUGAUGGAACUUGCAGGUUGUU